UGAAGAAGUGUAAGUUGGACGUGUGUGUAUAUAAGAAGCAUUAAUUGACAGCGCAUGAAUCAAACGAUGAAAUUUUAAUGCAUAUGAUCUAUUGCCUUUAAUAUUAGGCAGACUAUUUACAGAGUGAUGUCGAUUCUUCUUAUUUUUUUUGCGAGAAUAUCCAGAAUUUGAUCACUGGUGACCAAAUUCUGGAUAUCCAAAAUCGGGAUCCAAAAAUCGGGAUCAAAUUCCCCAAAUUUGGGGACAAAAAUCCGCUGAUUCCCCACACAGGUUUUUUAAAAUGAAACAACAUUCUACUAGCUGACAAUAACUCAUAUUAGUAUUCUUAAUUAAUUAAAAUAAAAACUAAAACAGUUAACAUUCAUAUUCUUUUCCAUAUUUUUGUGGAUAGCAUUUUGUUUGACGGGUUGAACUUGACGCUGCCGCCUAAUUUUUUAAUUCCUUCUCUUGCAGCCAUAAAUGAUACAACAGUAUCUGUAUUCAGUCGAUUACGGUUUUCAGCUUUCAAAUUCUUAAGAACACUAAAUUUGCGCUCGACCGAUGCAUUAGAAAAAGGCAGUAUCAGCAACAACGAAAUAACAAUUUUUAUAUUUGGAAACAGCCCAUGUUGACAACAAUCCAGCAUUGCGUGAGCUCGCUAUUCAUCGUCUAAUUUUUGUGCUGUCACAGAGAUGUGCUAUACAUAAUAUUUUUAAAAAAGGUCGAUGUCGUGUCGAUAAUGAAUGAUGAAAUAUUUACCGACGAGAAUAAGAUGUCAAAAAAUGUAAAAAUCCCUGCAUUUUCCCCACAUAAUGCCAAUCCCCAAUAAAUCCACAAUCAACUUAAAAUUCCCCACACUUUGGAGAAUUCCCCACAAAUUGGCAACGCUGCUGGUGACAAUCAGAUCUCUGUGAAUGUUAAGAAGCGACCGUCCAUUCAGCCGUUCCUCUCCAGUCCGGGUGCGUAACUAUGCGGAGAAGGAUCGUUCACUAGAGGCAACUGUGACCGGUAGUGUCAAUUAAUACUGUGAUUUUGACCAAAAAAUUGUUAAAAUAACAUGAAAAUUACAAAAUAAAUUGGAAUAAAUCAUAUAUGUAAUGUACCAACUUAUGAUGUGGACAAUUUAA